UUCGCCCUUAGAGUUUGAUCCUGGCUCAGGAUGAACGCUGGCGGCGUGCCUAACACAUGCAAGUCGAGCGAGAAAUUUAUGGACGAUAUUUCGAUUGAGUUUGUAAAUGGAAAGCGGCGGACGGGUGAGUAACGCGUAGGUAACCUGCACCAUACAGAGGGAUAGCCACUGGAAACGGUGAUUAAUACCUCAUAAAACUGAGAAUACACAUGUAUGCUCAGCCAAAGAUUUAUCGGUGUGGGAUGGACCCGCGUCUGAUUAGUUAGUUGGUGAGGUAACGGCUCACCAAGGCGACGAUCAGUAGCCGACCUGAGAGGGUGAUCGGCCACAUUGGAACUGAGACACGGUCCAAACUCCUACGGGAGGCAGCAGUGGGGAAUAUUGCACAAUGGGCGAAAGCCUGACCCAGCAACGCCGCGUGAAGGAAGAAGGCUUUCGGGUUGUAAACUUCUUUUAAGAGGGAAGAGCAGAAGACGGUACCUCUUGAAUAAGCCACGGCUAACUACGUGCCAGCAGCCGCGGUAAUACGUAGGUGGCAAGCGUUGUCCGGAUUUACUGGGUGUAAAGGGCGUGUAGCCGGGUUGACAAGUCAGAUGUGAAAUCCGGGGGCUUAACCCCCGAACUGCAUUUGAAACUGUUGAUCUUGAGUAUCGGAGAGGCAGGCGGAAUUCCUAGUGUAGCGGUGAAAUGCGUAGAUAUUAGGAGGAACACCAGUGGCGAAGGCGGCCUGCUGGACGACAACUGACGGUGAGGCGCGAAAGCGUGGGGAGCAAACAGGAUUAGAUACCCUGGUAGUCCACGCUGUAAACGAUGGAUACUAGGUGUGCGGGGACUGACCCCCUGCGUGCCGCAGCUAACGCAAUAAGUAUCCCACCUGGGGAGUACGAUCGCAAGGUUGAAACUCAAAGGAAUUGACGGGGGCCCGCACAAGCGGUGGAUUAUGUGGUUUAAUUCGAUGCAACGCGAAGAACCUUACCAGGGCUUGACAUCCUGCUAACGAGGUAGAGAUACGUCAGGUGCCCUUCGGGGAAAGCAGAGACAGGUGGUGCAUGGUUGUCGUCAGCUCGUGUCGUGAGAUGUUGGGUUAAGUCCCGCAACGAGCGCAACCCUUAUUGUUAGUUGCUACGCAAGAGCACUCUAGCGAGACUGCCGUUGACAAAACGGAGGAAGGUGGGGACGACGUCAAAUCAUCAUGCCCCUUAUGUCCUGGGCUACACACGUAAUACAAUGGCGGUCAACAGAGGGAUGCAAAACCGUGAGGUGGAGCGAACCCCUAAAAGCCGUCCCAGUUCAGAUCGCAGUCUGCAACCCGACUGCGUGAAGUCGGAAUCGCUAGUAAUCGCGGAUCAGCAUGCCGCGGUGAAUACGUUCCCCGGCCUUGCACACACCGCCCGUCA
rnacentral:rRNA from 1 species